GUGGGGAAUAUUGCACAAUGGGGGAAACCCUGAUGCAGCAACGCCGCGUGAGUGAUGAAGGCCUUCGGGUUGUAAAGCUCUGUCUUUGGGGACGAUAAUGACGGUACCCAAGGAGGAAGCCACGGCUAACUACGUGCCAGCAGCCGCGGUAAUACGUAGGUGGCAAGCGUUGUCCGGCUUUACUGGGCGUAAAGGGAGCGUAGGUGGAUAUUUAAGUGGGAUGUGAAAUACUCGGGCUUAACCUGGGUGCUGCAUUCCAAACUGGAUAUCUAGAGUGCAGGAGAGGAAAGUAGCAUUCCUAGUGUAGCGGUGAAUUGCGUAGAGAUUAGGAAGAAUACCAGUGGCGAAGGCGACUUUCUGGACUGUAACUGACACUGAGGCUCGAAAGCGUGGGGAGCAAACAGGAUUAGAAACCCGGGUAGUCC
rnacentral:rRNA from 1 species